rnacentral:tRNA from 1 species
CUCAGCAGCAUAGUUGGUAAAGCACUUGUCUAACAUACAAGAUUCGUGAGUUCGAAUCCCACCUGAG